UCAGGCCCUCGAAGCAGCAAGAGAGCCAAAUGAUGCAGGUGGACACUGUCUCCUUUGCGUCACACCCCAGGAGCUGUGCUUAUGACUAUAUCACUGAUAGAGCCGUGUCACAUGUAACAGGACGUGUGGCGAUGCACGUGGUGGAGAUGUGAGUCCGUGUGUGAUUGCGGUGUGCCUGUGUGCUUCCUGGCGGGUGGCGUGUGGCUGCUGUCCUAGGCCUGCAGAGACCUUGAUCUGGUUGAAGGUGUGAUUACAGAACUGGGCCUCUCUGGGGAGCAGGCAUUUCCUCUCGCACUGGGGUUUUCUGAGAGGGAGCUACUUAAGCACAGAGGCCUUAACGUAAAUACAUUUGUGUUCCCAGCUCUCAGCAGAAUAUUUGCAGAAUGUGCAGUAGAUCCGUGCUACUUUUAUUUGUGCUUCAACCAAAUCAGAACUGAGUCAGAGAGCUCUCAGAUCUCUUGAUGCACCAGGCCCUGUUCUAGUCAGACAG
rnacentral:lncRNA from 1 species